UCAAAUACCUCUGUAAAGUCAAGUCAAGUAAUAAUAAUAAAAGUUCCUUCUGGAUUUAGAACACGCUUGUUGGUGGUGACCCUAGUGAGAGGUGAUCUCUGUGGUGCAAUGUGUAAGCGUUGUAAACGUGUGACUUAAACGAAUUGUAUUUAAUCUAUGACUAGGUAAAAUUCACAAGUUAACAUGUUUUUCAGGUAAUAUUCCCAUUUUUGGAUAGUUAAAGACCUAGUCAAAAUUAUAGCUUCGCCCACAAAGUCUGGUGUUGGAACUCUGCCAAGUGUGAAGACGUAUUCUUCCAUCACGGUAAGGAUAUGUGGAUGAGAAGAACCACAACACAAUGAAGACAACAGUCAAAGGCACUGCAUGAAAACCUCAUGGAGACCCAUCUAUGUGUAUCUGUGAUUUGGAUAAUACAGAAGCUGAGGCAGGAGCUGCCUACCAAACAACUAAAUAAAAAGAAGGAUGCAUUUCGGAAGUAAGUACACUCACACCAGUUACUGUCAAAGGUGUAUAUGUCCAGUCGUACUCUUUCAACAAGAUGGGGUUACAUUCAUCUGUACCAUAUACAUUUAAUAUAAAAGAUUUAGCUUCCCAAUUAGCAACUAUAUAACUGGUUUGAGUUCAGGAUAAGGAAGCAUCACUACCCCACCUCUCUACCGCGCCACCUCAAUCCUUUCUUCACUCUUGGCUUUCUGGAGUAAUGGUCUCUCUUAAUCCAUUUCUAAUGGUUAACAGAAUGGAUGUUGGGGUUGGACACACCUGGAGUAGAAUUUUGACUCUAUUGCUUACUGAUACAUGAGAGGUUCUUGCAGUUUACUGAACUUCUUAGGCUUCUAUUUUGCCAUCUGUUAAAUGGAGAAGAUUGUAGUGCCUACCCCAUGGAGUUACUGUGAAAAAUCAGUACCUGUAAAGUACUUAGCUCAGUGCCUGGCACAUGGUGCUAAAUAGAUGUUAGCUAUUAUAUAAAAUAUAUAUUAAAAAUGGUUGUCCACUCUAGAGUAGCCUAGUGUCCCCAAUCCUAUCCCAAAAUACAGAUUCAGGAGUUUCUCCUCUGAAUUCAGUUGGCAGUCUUGUGAUCUCUGUUGGUGUUAAAAAGUCUCGAGUGUUGCUGGGAGAUGUCGCACUGAGCAGCUGAAUGAUAUAGAAGGGGAAGUCUCAUAUCCGUCCUAUGGUUAAUGGGCAGAAGAGGCUUCUGCAUAAAGUCAGGAAAAUAUUUCUGUUGGUGAAUUGAGUUGGCAGAAAUAUCUGUAUGUAGCUACCAAGUGUUCUCACUUAAAUGGUUCAUGAAAUGACCAGCUGCGUCAGUUCCCUGGCACCCCUAUGGGUCCGAGGCAUUUGAAUGUGUCUCUUAAAAAAGUCUUCCUCCAGAAUCUUUCACCGCGAAAUUUUCCAAAGAUUAUACUCUGGAAACUGUUUUGGGAGUGACACUCCAGGGGUUUGAAUCCUGGUAUCCUUUUAACUUCCCUUUCUUAACCCCAUCUGAGCCAAAGCUCAAUUUCUCCUAUUUUUUCCACAACAGGACUUAGUGAGACAUUGAGAAAGACCAGAUGUUAGCAACAAAAAAUAUGUUUACAUUCCUAGAGGAUAAAAAGAGAGUUGGGGAGGCUGUUGCUUUUCAAACCACAGCUCGUGUAUAGUUUAAGAGAAAAAGGAGACCACAAAAUCUAGAAGCAGGGUCUUCUGCUUUUUCUCUUGGUGUGGACGACAACUUGGGGCUCCCCCCUUCUCAAA